rnacentral:rRNA from 1 species
GACGAACGCUGGCGGCGUGCCUAAUACAUGCAAGUUGAGCGCUGAAGGUUGGUACUUGUACCAACUGGAUGAGCAGCGCACGGGUGAGUAACGCGUGGGGAAUCUGCCUUUGAGCGGGGGACAACAUUUGGAAACGAAUGCUAAUACCGCAUAAAAACUUUAAACACAAGUUUUAAGUUUGAAAGAUGCAAUUGCAUCACUCAAAGAUGAUCCCGCGUUGUAUUAGCUAGUUGGUGAGGUAAAGGCUCACCAAGGCGAUGAUACAUAGCCGACCUGAGAGGGUGAUCGGCCACAUUGGGACUGAGACACGGCCCAAACUCCUACGGGAGGCAGCAGUAGGGAAUCUUCGGCAAGAGACGAAAGUCGGACCGAGCAACGCCGCGUGAGUGAAGAAGGUUUUCGGAUCGUAAAACUCUGUUGGUAGAGAAGAACGUUGGUGAGAGUGGAAAGCUCAUCAAGUGACGGUAACUACCCAGAAAGGGACGGCUAACUACGUG